ensembl:tRNA
GCGUUCGUGGUGUAAUGGUCAGCAUGGAUGCCUUCCAAGCAUUCGACCACAGGUGAUUCGCAGUGUAAGCAAAAUGCUUCGACGCA